AAGUCGUAACAAGGUUUCCGUAGCACAAGUCUACGAAGAACAGUAAUGUCCUUCCGCAGAGUACACUUGCAGAAGCCUUAGUAGCCCGAAAGGGUUUCAUCAACGACUCUAAACAAGUAGGUGAAUUAAAUGCUAGUCUCUUUAUGAGGCAACACUAUCAAAUUGCGGGAAGAUCCUGUCAUGUCCACAUCACCGCGGCUCACCGWAAGGUGCAGYGCAGCACCAGGCUAACAACCUUGGGUAAGGUAAUAGUAUGUGGAAUAGGGAGAAUCUGCAGCCAAGCCCCUUUGUGGGGUGCAGUUCACAGGCCAAAUGGUAGUGGGCACUCUCGAGUGCUUAAGAUAUGGUCGAGUCCCAAUUGGAAAAUUGGGUACAAGUACUCUUGUUAAAUGCAAAUGUUCCGUAGGUGAACCUGCGGAAGGAUCAUUAAUGAAUUAUAAGUCGGUCGUCUGUGCUGGUGGCAACACAUGUGCACGUCGAUCGCAAAUCCACACACCUGUGCACUUUUGACUUUGGGAUCCGCUUGUUGGCUUGUCUGACUUGCAGCUGGUUUGGUCUUGCACCUGGCCUGGGUCUCAGAGUAAUUUUUACACACUCUGAAUGUAAUGGAAUGUCUUGUGCAUAAUGCAUAUAAAAACAACUUUCAACAACGGAUCUCUWGGCUCUCGCACCGAUGAAGAACGCAGCGAAAUGCGAUAAGUAAUGUGAAUUGCAGAAUUCAGUGAAUCAUCGAAUCUUUGAACGCACCUUGCACCUUUUGGUAUUCCGAAAGGUACACCCGUUUGAGUGUCAUUGUAAUCUCACUCCUUCAACUUUUGUUGCUGGAUGUGGACUUGGACUCUGUCGUGUYACARYGACUGGUCUGAAAUGCCUGAGUGCACCCUGCUGUUGCAGCGUCUUCAGUGUGAUAAGCAUCUUCACUGAUUCAAGUUCCUUYGGGACACGUAGCAUUGUGGGCUCUGUGCUGACGAACCGUCUUUGGACAAUCUUUGACAAUUUGACCUCAAAUCGGGUGGGACUACCCGCUGAACUUAAGCAUAUCAAUAAGCGGAGGAAAAGAAACUAACAAGGAUUCCCCUAGUAACGGCGAGUGAAGAGGGAAAAGCUCAAAUUUUGAAUCUGGUGUCUUUGGCGCCCGAGUUGUAAUCUAGAGAAGUGUUUUCUGCCUYGGACCACACAUAAAUUCCCUGGAAUGGGGUGUCAUAGAGGGUGAGAAUCCCGUUUGUGGUGUGGACUACCUUGGCUCUGUGAUACACUCUCAACGAGUCGAGUUGUUUGGGAAUGCAGCUCAAAAUGGGUGGUAAAUUCCAUCUAAAGCUAAAUAUUGGCGAGAGACCGAUAGCGAACAAGUACCGUGAGGGAAAGAUGAAAAGCACUUUGGAAAGAGAGUGAAACAGUACGUGAAAUUGUUGAAAGGGAAGCGUUUGAAGUCAGUCACAUCGGUCGGAAUUCAGCCUGGCUUUGCCUGGUGUACUUUUUGGCAGAUGGGUCAGCGUCAAUUUUGACUGAGGGAAAAAGACUUGAGGAAUGUGGCUGUCUUCGGGCAGUGUUAUAGCCUCUUGUUGUAUGUCUCAGUUGGGAUUGAGGACCGCAGCACGCCUUAUGGCCGGGGUUCGCGCCCUCGGAACGUGCUUAGGACRCUGGCAUAAUGGCUUUAAGCGACCG
rnacentral:rRNA from 1 species